AUACUUACCUGGCAGGGGAGAUACCAUGAUCAAGAAGGUGGUUCACCAGGGUGAGGCUCGUCCAUUGCACUUCCGGAUGUGCUGACCCCUGGCGAAUUCCCCAAAUGUGGGAAUCUCGACUGCAUAAUUUCUGGUAAGUGGGGGACUGCGUUCGCGCUCUCCCCUG
ensembl:snRNA U1 U1 spliceosomal RNA